CAAUAGCGUAUAUUUAAGUUGUUGCAGUUAAAAAGCUCGUAGUUGGAUUUCGGAUGGGAUUUGCCGGUCCGUCGUUACGAUGUGCACUGGCCAGUCCUAUCUUGUUGUCGGGGACUAGCUCCUGGGCUUCACUGUCCGGGACUAGGAGCUGACGAGGUUACUUUGAGUAAAUUAGAGUGUUCAAAGCAAGCCUACGCUCUGAAUACAUUAGCAUGGAAUAACACGAUAGGACUCUGGCUUAUCUUGUUGGUCUGUGAGACCAGAGUAAUGAUUAAGAGGGACAGUCGGGGGCAUUCGUAUUUCAUUGUCAGAGGUGAAAUUCUUGGAUUUAUGAAAGACGAACUUCUGCGAAAGCAUUUGCCAAGGAUGUUUUCAUUAA
rnacentral:rRNA from 1 species